AAUAACAACAAUAACAAUAACAAUUUAUUGGAAGCAUUCCCAUAUACAUAAAUGGUAUUGCCUACGACUACAUAACAAAAUAACAAAAUAACAAUAAAACUAUGCUAAAUUGGCCCUACGGCUACGUAUAAAUAACGGUUUUAACUAGUAAAGCCCAAAGGGGUUAUUUACAGUAAUAAAUUGUCUUUUCUUAUUGCAAAAGCUUCGGAGAUGAACCAUGCAAUUUUUUUGCAUACAAAAGGAUCAACAUUGUUAAAUAGGAAUAAAACUUUUUCCGUAGUAUUCAUUUUUCUGAAGUUUUGAUAUUGAUUGUUCAUAUCACUGUAUAGAGUAGUUUUAAUUUGGUUAUACAAUAUACAAUGGAAUAAAAAAUGUGUUUCAUUUUCUAUGUAUUGUGACCCACAGUGGUCACAUGUUCUUAGAUUUUCUGGCAUUUUGGGACAGCUAUGUCUUCCUGUCUCAAUUUUUAAAUUAUGGUUUCCCAUUCGAAGCUUCGCUGUGGCUUUACGGUGAUUUCCAUUUUUUAUCAGCUCCAAAAAUGAGGAACAUUUGGUAUCGUAUUUGAAAGUUGAAUAAAAAACAAGUUUUCUAAUUGACUUCAGAAGAUGAAUUUGAUGUAAUUGGGAUUGAUGUUCUAUAUUUGGUUUAAUUUCGAAUAACCAUUUAUUGUAAUUAUCUUUGUUACUAGUAUCUAUAUUUUGUUGAUUCUGUGUUUGAAAUAAGCGUGUGAUUUCGUUUACGGAUGAAAUGAAACAAGGUUUAGUACUAGAUAACGCUAUUUGUUUAGAAAUCUGAAGACAUUGGAAAGCAAUACUA